UACGUAGGGGGCAAGCGUUGUCCGGAAUCAUUGGGCGUAAAGCGCGUGUAGGCGGCUCGAUAAGUCUGCUGUGAAAGUUCAGGGCUCAACCCUGAAAUGCCGGUGGAAACUGUCGGGCUAGAGUCCGGAAGAGGCGAGUGGAAUUCCUGGUGUAGCGGUGAAAUGCGCAGAUAUCAGGAGGAACACCGGUGGCGAAGGCGGUGGUCUGGGCCGGUACUGACGCUGAGGAGCGAAAGCGUGGGGAGCGAACAGG
rnacentral:rRNA from 1 species